GUUUAAAUAGCUUAAAUUUAAAGCUUAGUAUUGAAGCUACUAUGAUGAUUAUANAAUCUUUAAACA
rnacentral:tRNA from 1 species